CUGAGUCACGGUAGUGCAUUUUCCCUGUUUCAGUGUUGGUUUUGUAAAUUCUGUUGUAGCUACGAAAACGAACAGGGAAACAGCACUCAGAAAGGACAAGGUGUAGCAGAACAUCUCCGGACAUCUAUUUACCAUGACGACCUACAGUAAAAUGAGACAACUCGUCAUGGAUUUCAAUAUUUAUUGGUAUGAGGACGGCGACAUCUUCCUUGGAGUUGAUGAUCCUGGGUAACGUCCCGCAUGCCGCACACAUCAUCACCCGAUUGGGACCAGGAAUCACCAGCGUUGGCUGGCUGUUCGACAUCGGACCAGUGAUCGCCAGUCAUUUCGUCGUCGGUGGUGGCAGGUAGUUCUCCGGAACCCAAGUCCUUCUACGACUUCCAGAAGGUUGCAACAGCCGGUCCAACGUGUCCGAAGGAUCAUCGUCGUCAUCAUUGCAUCAGUGUACAAGUAAGCAUCAUGUCUUCGUCGAUCUUGCAUAAACUUGACAAGUUAAAGAAAUGUGGAGAGUUUCAAAAAAUGGCGACAAUUCCUAAAAACAUCAAGUAUGAUGUGGUUGAUGUUAACAAAAUUGAAACGAGGUAUGGCGAGGCGGUCUACGUAGAAAUUAUGAAGGAUCACGAGCACGUAAAGGUGUUCCUUCCAGCUCGGUUUCAUAAACUAAGCACUCAAGACAUCGAAGACAUGAGGAACACGAGCGGACUCUGGAUGGAGAAGAAAGAGCGAGUUGGAAAAGACGGGAAACGUCUUCUUUCGCCAGACAUCGUGUUCGGUCAAUCCGAGUAAAAAAAUAAAAAGAAAUGGUGAUAUGCCACCUUUGUCCUCCGGCCGAUCGGCAGCACUACACAACAUCGCUGGGACUUCAAGUUCAUCUGACUAACGUUCAUAACCUUGCAACACCCUGUAUCCCAUUUUGUGAGACACUCUGUACGCUCCGCAACUAUACCAACCGCUAUGAGCUUCAUCUACAUGACAGAGACGACGACGGGCAGGAUGACAGCACAUUCUUUCAUGA